rnacentral:rRNA from 1 species
AACUGGGAAAAACUUGAGUGCAGAAAGAGGAAAGUGGAAUUCCAUGUGUAGCGGUGAAAAUGCGCAGAGAUAUGGAGGAACACCAGUGGCGAAGGCGACUUUUCUGGUCUGUAAACUGACGCUGAUGUGCGAAAGCGUGGGGAUCAAACAGGAUUAGAUACCCUGGUAGUCCACGCCGUAAACGAUGAGUGUUAAGUGUUAGGGGGUUUCCGCCCCUUAGUGCUGCAGCUAACGCAUUAAGCACUCCGCCUGGGGAGUACGACCGCAAGGUUGAAACUCAAAGGAAUUGACGGGGACCCGCACAAGCGGUGGAGCAUGUUGUUUAAUUCGAAGCAACGCGAAGAACCUUACCAAAUCUUGACAUCCUUUGACAACUCUAGAGAUAGAGCUUUCCCCUUCGGGGGACAAAGUGACAGGUGGUGCAUGGUUGUCGUCAGCUCGUGUCGUGAGAUGU